rnacentral:rRNA from 1 species
UACAGAGGGUGCAAGCGUUGUUCGGAAUUAUUGGGCGUAAAGCGCGUGUAGGCGGCGUGACAAGUCGGGUGUGAAAGCCCUCAGCUCAACUGAGGAAGUGCGCCCGAAACUGUCGUGCUUGAGUGCCGGAGAGGGUGGCGGAAUUCCCCAAGUAGAGGUGAAAUUCGUAGAUAUGGGGAGGAACACCGGUGGCGAAGGCGGCCACCUGGACGGCUACUGACGCUGAGACGCGAAAGCCAGGGGAGCAAACGGG